rnacentral:misc_RNA from 1 species
GAAAUGCGAUAAGUAGUGUGAAUUGCAGAAUUCAGUGAAUCAUCGAAUCUUUGAACGCACAUUGCGCUCCUUGGUAUUCCAUGGGGCAUGCCUGUUCGAGCGUCAUCUACACCCUCAAGCUCUGCUUGGUGUUGGGCGUCUUUGUCCCGCCUCCGCGCGCGGACUCGCCCCAAAUUCAUUGGCAGCGGUCCUUGCCUCCUCUCGCGCAGCACAUUGCGCUUCUCGAGGUGUUGCGGCCCGCGUCCAGAAAGCAAUCGUUACCGUCUUUGACCUCGGAUCAGGUAGGGAUACCCGCUGAACUUAAGC